AGUUGCAGAUUUACUGUAGGUAAUGCUACAGCAGUAUAGUGUUCGUUAGCAGUCCAGACCGCCGUUCACCAUCCCGUGAUGGACGUCCUCAGUCGCUGUCGAGAAAAUUCCAAUAAGAUUUCAUCUUACCAAUUUCCCGGGUUACACGCUUUUGGAGUUUCAACUCACCACAACAUUGGCCUGUGUAAUAUUACAAGAUUGAUCGUUGAUGCAUGUGUAAUACGUUGUUUACCGCUAACCUUUCGUCGUCCUCAGGUCCUACAUGAUUAAGACACGAAUACUGAUCGCCGAGUGUAACAUGAUGACGCUUAUCCGACGCUUCACUGGCUCAGGUCGUAGUUUUGCCUCGUCUACACGAUAUUCUUGUAAAAAUCUAUUUUAGGCGCAUAAGAAAUAAUUGUCAUGGCUCAAAGACACGCGUGUUUUGUUCCGAUUGAAGAAAUCCAGAACCAAAGAGGUUAUGAGGUUUUAUAGUUUCACUAAAUCAGUACUGGAAGAAGAGAAUAAGAAGAGAUAAUAUCAUGGAUAUAAUGUACACAUUCUGCCAUCAGAUGAUGAUUACCUAACUAUAUCAAACUAACUGCAUGGUACAUAAUCUAACUAAAUACAACAGAAAAAAUAUGAAUGUAUCAAGAAAUUUAGAUUUAAAGGAAUGGAUAACUUAAGUACAUUGUUUAGUAUGUGUCUGAGCAUAUAUAAAUAAAAGAUUUCAAAUGGAAAUAUGAAGAAAGAAAAAUAAAUGAGCACGAUGGAUAUUUUUUGAAGGAAUAUAUUCUUAAGUUAUGGAUCAGCAAUAUUCAAGGUUACCAAAAAAGUAUUUAUCUAUGAUG